GCUCGCUUCAGCGGUACAUAUAUUAAAACUGGAACGAUAUAGAGAAGUUAAUGUGACCCCUGUGCAAGGAGGACACGUAAAUUCAUGAAGUGUUCCAUAUUUUU